rnacentral:rRNA from 1 species
UACGGAGGGUGCAAGCGUUGUUCGGAAUCAUUGGGCGUAAAGCGCGUGUAGGCGGCUUGGCAAGUCAGUUGUGAAAGCCCGGGGCCCAACCCCGGAAUUGCAUCUGAAACUGCCUGGCUGGAGUCCCGGAGAGGAAGGCAGAAUUCCCGGUGUAGGGGUGAAAUCCGUAGAUAUCGGGAGGAAUACCAGCGGCGAAGGCGGCCUUCUGGACGGUGACCGACGCUGAGACGCGAAAGCGUGGGGAGCAAACAGG